AUUGAACGCUGGCGGCAUGCCUUACACAUGCAAGUCGAACGGCAGCAUGAUCUAGCUUGCUAGAUUGAUGGCGAGUGGCGAACGGGUGAGUAAUACAUCGGAACGUGCCCUGUAGUGGGGGAUAACUAGUCGAAAGAUUAGCUAAUACCGCAUACGGCCUGAGGGUGAAAGUGGGGGACCGCAAGGCCUCAUGCUAUAGGAGCGGCCGAUGUCUGAUUAGCUAGUUGGUGAGGUAAAGGCUCACCAAGGCGACGAUCAGUAGCUGGUCUGAGAGGACGAUCAGCCACACUGGGACUGAGACACGGCCCAGACUCCUACGGGAGGCAGCAGUGGGGAAUUUUGGACAAUGGGCGAAAGCCUGAUCCAGCAAUGCCGCGUGUGUGAAGAAGGCCUUCGGGUUGUAAAGCACUUUUGUCCGGAAAGAAAUGGCUCUGGUUAAUACCUGGGGUCGAUGACGGUACCGGAAGAAUAAGGACCGGCUAACUACGUG
rnacentral:rRNA from 1 species